AGAUUUCAGGCUGCUGGCUAUACUCCAGGACUUACCUUGUCCUGGAUAUAAACACUGCCAGACUGAAAGGUGC
rnacentral:pre_miRNA from 1 species